UGGGUGGGCAAAGCAGAGAAAGGUGAGGUAGCAUUGCCCUUAUGACCCCUCCUAAGGAGCAAGAUUCCAGAUCGGCCCAUCUGAGCUUUUAUUUUCUCAAAUGCAGACUAGGAUACCCAGGGCUCGGUUUAUACCUAUCACCAUUUCUAGCCACUGGGGGACCAUAGGCACGCUGGGGGAACGCAUAUUAAUGUUAACAAACCUCAUAAAGUGACAUUUUCAUGCCAUGGGCCCUUUAAUCAGCCCUUUCUCUUAAAGCAGUGUGGGAUAACCCCAUGCAGAAUAAAUCUCCUUGCAUCUUUGAAUAGACCAUGUAGCUCAGAUCAUGCUCUGGAUGCCGAAUCCGCCUGCAUUUGAUUAAAUCUCAAUAAUUUAUUAAAUCUGCAUUACAAACCUGAAUCCUUUUCACUCAGUUAUACCUUAAUAUUUAAAAAAAGAAAGAGUAAAAAAAAAAGUAUUUUUAUCAUCAUUAAUUAUAUUCUAAGCUUAACUAAUGUGGGUUCUGUACUGAAUAUUAACUUAAACUAAACUGGCUGUCAGAGCCCAACCCUGUUAGUCAGAUUAAACACCACACACAAACAGCCCAGGUGUAGUUAAAUUCAGUUGUCCGUUUUGGCAAUAAAAACACCAUGCUAACAAGGCAGUAUUUCCCUAAAAGUCUGAUUAAACAGUCCCAGUGGGCAGGCGUGGACUUCCUGUUUGUAACAUCCUCCAACUUGUGUUUGGCACCUGGGCAACUUCCUCUCUCACCUUUGUGUCAUCCACCAGCUGACCGUGUUUCAUGUAGUUUUUAGUGAACAGGAAACCAAGUGCUGUGGUGUUUACCGUUGUUUACUGUACAUAGGACAUGGAUCUCCUGAGUAUCCCUGCCACACACAUUUGUCAAUGACUACUCUACUCUUGUCUUUUCUAUUUCCUCUCAUCUGUUUCUUUUUUUUCUGGUUUUAUUGCCCUGUCAGUGGAAGCCAGUGAUUUAUUUUUGUUUUUAUUUUUUGUUCACUUCCCCCUCUCUGUCUCUCUGCUAACUGUAAAGCUGACAUCCUUCACAACAGGUGAGGGUUCAGAUUGUCUCUUUAGUGGACUUUACAUGACUUAUUUUGUGUUUUUUGUGGGAGUGUUGGGAUGCAAAUGUUUCUACUUUGUAUAAUGAUGGACAAUUGUGUAUUUACUGUCUGUUCAUAGUAGAUUUAUAUAUGAAAAGAAAUACGUAUAUUAUAUAUAUAUAUAUAUAUCUAUACAUAAUGAAAACCAUGAUCCUGUUUUUGAAGUUGGUAUUGCAAAAUGCUACAUUUCAUGGGCCUUAGACUCAGUCUGCCCUGUUUUGGGUGUUACUUAAGGCACCGUUUGCUGUCCUUAGUUACAGUUGGUUACAUGUUGAGUAGCAUUUUACUGGUUUUCUUUUUGUCUUUUAACACUGAUGACUAGUUUUUGGCUUUAACCAUCCCAUUGGUACCAUUACACUAAUACUCUAGGCCCUUGCCCUCCGCUCAGCCUCGCAGCUUCAUGCACGUAUUCCUAUUAUUCCACCUCUUUAUUUGUGUAUAUAUAUUAUUUUAUAAAAACACACAUUUUAGCUGGUACCAUAAAGUUUAAAGACUAAAAUUCGAAAUCUGGAUUCUGCGCAUCUCAAAAACAAUCUCUAGUGGUUCUCUAUGUUAAAGGUUUACAAGUUCAUCCUCUAUCAACAAGACCA